rnacentral:tRNA from 1 species
GGGCCCGUGGUCUAGCGGUAGGACGUCCGCCUCACGCGCGGGAGAGGGACUCGCCCCCGAGGUCCCGGGUUCAAAUCCCGGCGGGCCCACCA